AACGAACGCUGGCGGCAUGCCUAACACAUGCAAGUCGAACGAGACCUUCGGGUCUAGUGGCGCACGGGUGCGUACCGCGUGGGAACCUGCCCUUAGGUUCGGAAUACCUCCCCGAAAGGGGUGCUAAUACCGGAUAAUGUCUUCGGACCAAAGAUUUAUCGCCUUUGGAUGGGCCCGCGUUGGAUUAGCUAGUUGGUAGGGUAAAAGCCUACCAAGGCGACGAUCCAUAGCUGGUCGGAGAGGAUGAUCAGCCACACUGGGACUGAGACACGGCCCAGACUCCUACGGGAGGCAGCAGUGGGGAAUAUUGGACAAUGGGCGAAAGCCUGAUCCAGCAAUGCCGCGUGAGUGAUGAAGGCCUUAGGGUUGUAAAGCUCUUUUACCCGGGAUGAUAAUGACAGUACCGGGAGAAUAAGCUCCGGCUAACUCCGUG
rnacentral:rRNA from 1 species